UUAAGGCAAUAAUGAAAGGAAAUUGAGAUUCACUCUGCAGAAUGUCUGCCUGUGCUAGCAUUGCAAAUAUUCACAAGCAGAGUUGGGGGUGUUUUCAAAUGGUUGCAAAUCCUCAGCCCAUGUGAUAAAAGAUGCUGACAUUAAUAUUCUGGUGUGCAAGCUAAUUCCUUCAGCCAGCUGUGAGGCUGAGGCUCUGCGGACCGAGAAAAGCGAUUCCCACAUUCAAGCUGCUGUAUCGGACUUACUGAGCUCUUCACUCUUUGAGAUCACUGUGAUUUACUAGAUACUGCCAAGAAAAUAUUCUAAUGUGUCAUAUUUACUCAUGUUCAUAAAUCUAUGUGCAUGCUACCUUCAACAAAGAUAUUUCUUACAUUAUGCAUUACACACAUAAACGUACGUCUUCGUCGAGGAACAAUAAACGAUGAAUGUUUCUCUAAUAGCCAUAGAUGAAGCGGGAUAAAGGAAAAAGUGGCAAAAUCAAAAAGGAUGCUAGUGUCUAUGGAAAUAAGGACAAGGUACAAAGAGUUCUUUUAGGUCAAGGUACAAUGAAUUACCAUAAUCAAGGCCAAAUUAUUCCAUUAGCAGAAAAUGGGUUUGAUUCUACUCCUGCCCUAACCCCAGGAAGGUCAAGGAGAGCACAGCCUCACAGAGCAGCACAGCGGGCUAAGGCUGCACCGACAACAGGAACUUUACAGUAGGGCCAAGAAUGAGCAAUCACAUGUAAAGAAUGGCAAAGGAAAAGAAAAGGCGAGCAGGUGAGAUGUGAUUUCUUAUACCCUUGGCCAAACAGAAAGACCAACUACUUGCCUAAGUCAUCAGUGAAAAGGACCAGAAAAAACACUAACGGUCAACAAAAGAGGAAAUAAAUGGAUGAAUGGUAGAAAAGAGUACUGAUACUCUCUUCUGGAUGUCAUCUGGAGAAAAAUGCUAAAUACCUCAUGCCCACUGGAAUUCCAUAUCAGUGGCAACUGCAAAGGAAGUGUGGAAUCACAGAUCAACACAACCAUGGAAAAGAGAAGAGUAGAGGGUAGUGAUAAAGUCCACACUCAGGAACUUGAGAUCUUCUACUAGACAUCAAGGUCAAUAUUAAUCAUUGGAAUGGAACUAAAUGCAUAAAAAUCAGGAACAGUUUAACUGCAUACCCUGAACAUAGCAGGUGUUCCUGAUUGGUGGAGAGUCAUCCAUGAAGUGAUCCAGUGAUCCAGGCUUUUUGCAUCUGGGACAUCACCUUCCUCUAGACUUCAACUCUUCUGCAUCCAGAAAGCAGAUGGGGAAAGAGGGAGUGAAAUAAGCAUUCAUGCAUUUAAGCUCCUUGGCUCAGAAAUGAUAUUUAUAACUUCCGCUCUUGUUCUAUGGCUAGAACAAGUGACAUGAACCGCAGCUGGACAAGAGAGGAUGGUGCCAAGAAAUAAUCCCCUCCUGGGCAGAUGUUUUUCAGUGCAACUCUAUUCUAUGGAAGAAGAAGACAAUGCUAUAAGCCAGUAAGGAGACUCUCCAGGACUCAAAACAGAUAGAUGACUUUAAGUCCAGUGUUCUUGCUACCACAACAUACCACCUAGGCAUCCAGAGUUGGCUCAGCUUGCUUCAAAACACUUGAACUAGCGCCUGACCUAACACUGUAGGUAGUAUGGGACAGAGGAUUGUCACCAAUGGGAAGACUACUUGAACAGACCGAUGAGGAGAACCAGGCUUAAGCCAGGCUGUGCCAUAUCUGACUGAAUAAAUCAUGAAUUCUC